rnacentral:lncRNA from 1 species
GCGAAGCUCUGCUCGCUUUUCCAACAAACUCACCAUAUUGCCGACGUGGUUCGAUAGGGGUAACGAUUUAAAAAUAAGUGCUAUUGCAAUAUUGAUUCACUGUUUUAGUUCCGUUACCAUUUCAAUUUAUGCAUGUUGGGUUGUGUAUUGAUUGCUUCAUUUCAAGUUUGAUUUGAGUGUGUUUACAUUUGCUGGUUUAUUUUUCGAGUGAAGCAUUCAAUGAUAAGCAUGUGUGAUUAUGGUUGCAAGAUUGC